rnacentral:rRNA from 1 species
UACGUAGGGUGCGAGCGUUAAUCGGAAUUACUGGGCGUAAAGCGUGCGCAGGCGGUGAUGUAAGACCGAUGUGAAAUCCCCGGGCUUAACCUGGGAACUGCAUUGGUGACUGCAUUGCUGGAGUAUGGCAGGGGGGGGUGGAAUUCCACGUGUAGCAGUGAAAUGCGUAGAGAUGUGGAGGAACACCGAUGGCGAAGGCAGCCCCCUGGGCCAAUACUGACGCUCAUGCACGAAAGCGUGGGGAGCAAACAGG